GCAGAGAGGGCCCGCAGCACACUCUCACUUCCCUUCGCAGCAGCUCCCCUGUCUCUAACUCUCGUGGCCUGCGUGCUGCGUGGAGCGUUGCACUGGUAACCCACACAACUCUCUGACAGCCGCAGGACUCACAAGAUUUAGACAGGGGAGCUGCUGGGAAGGGAAGUGAGAGUGUGCUGUGGGCCCCCUCU